AACGAACGCUGGCGGCGUGCCUCAAACAUGCAAGUCGUACGGGGUGUACUUGGGGUAACUCUUGUACACCUAGUGGCGAACGGGUGAGUAACACGUGGGUAAUCUGCCUCUUGGCCCGGGAUAACAUCUCGAAAGGGAUGCUAAUACCGGAUGAUAUCCGCCACUCCUCGGAGUGACGGAUCAAAGGUGGCUUAGGCUUUGCCGCUACCACCGGGAGAUGAGCCCGCGUCCCAUUAGCUUGUUGGCGGGGUAAGAGCCCACCAAGGCGACGAUGCGUAGCCGACCUGAGAGGGUGAUCGGCCACACUGGGACUGAGACACGGCCCAGACUCCUACGGGAGGCAGCAGUAGGGAAUCAUCCGCAAUGGGCGAAAGCCUGACGGUGCAACGCCGCGUGAACGAUGAAGGUUUUCGGAUCGUAAAGUUCUGUUAUGAGGGAAGAACAAGUGCCGUUCGAAUAGGGCGGCACCUUGACGGUACCUCACGAGAAAGCCCCGGCUAACUACGUG
rnacentral:rRNA from 1 species